rnacentral:rRNA from 1 species
UACGUAGGGCGCAAGCGUUGUCCGGAAUUAUUGGGCGUAAAGAGUUCGUAGGCGGUUUGUCGCGUCCGUUGUGAAAGCCCAGGGCUCAACCCUGGGUCUGCAGUGGAUACGGGCAGACUAGAGUCAGGUAGGGGAGAACGGAAUUCCUGGUGUAGCGGUGAAAUGCGCAGAUAUCAGGAGGAACACCGGUGGCGAAGGCGGUUCUCUGGGCCUGUACUGACGCUGAGGAACGAAAGCGUGGGGAGCGAACAGG